CCAGACCCUGGCUCUCAUCUUCGGCAAUGCUGUUGCCGCAUGAUUGGCAGCUUUCAACCUCUGCAGAUGGUCCUCUCCUGCUUCCCUGUGGUGAGGAUGGGAGGAGAGUGCCACGGGGGAGAGGAGGGGAGGAGGGUGCCACGGGGGAGAGGACGAUGGGAGGAGGGUGCCACGGGGGAGAGGAGGACGGAGAGGAAGGUGCCAUGGCAGAGAGGAGGAUGGGAGGAGGGUGCCACGGGGGAGAGGAGGAUGGGAGGAGGGUGCCACAGGGGAGAGGAGGACGGAGAGGAAGGUGCCAUGGCAGAGAGGAGGAUGGGAGGAGGGUGCCACGGGGGAGAGGAGGAUGGGAGGAGGGUGCCACGGGGGAGAGGAGGAUGGGAGGAGGGUGCCACGGGGGAGAGGAGGAUGGGAGGAGGGUGCCACGGGGGAGAGGAGGAUGGGAGGAGGGUGCCACGGGGGAGAGGAGGAUGGGAGGAGGGUGCCACGGGGGAGAGGAGGAUGGGAGGAGGGUGCCACGGGGGAGAGGAGGAUGGGAGGAGGGUGCCACGGGGGAGAGGAGGAUGGGAGGAGGGUGCCACGGGGGAGAGGAGGAUGGGAGGAGGGUGCCAUGGGGGAGAGGAGGAUGGAGAGGAAGGUGCCACAGGGGAGAGGAGGAUGGGAGGAGGGUGCCACGGGGGAGAGGAGGAUGGAGAGGAAGGUGCCACGGGGGAGAGGAGGAUGGAGAGGAAGGUGCCACAGGGGAGUGGAGGAUGGGAGGCGGGUGCCACGGGGGAGAGAAGGAUGGAGAAGAGGGUGC